rnacentral:rRNA from 1 species
AGGAAAGGUGAAAAGCACUUCGAACAGAAGAGUGAAAUAGUCCCUGAACCCAUACGCCUACAAGCAGUCGGAGCCGCUUCGUGCGGUGACGGCGUGCCUUUUGCAUAAUGAGCCUACGAGUUACUCAUCACCAGCGAGGUUAAGUACUUCAGGUACGUAAGCCGAAGCGAAAGCGAGUCUGAAUAGGGCGUCAAGUUGGUGGUGGUAGACGCGAAACCUUAGUGAUCUACCCAUGGGCAGGGUGAAGGUUUGGUAACACAAACUGGAGGCCCGAACCGGUAAACGUUGAAAAGUUUUCGGAUGACCUGUGGGUAGGGGUGAAAGGCCAAUCAAACUGGGAAAUAGCUCGUACUCUCCGAAAUGCAUUUAGGUGCAGCCUCUGUUGUUUUGUUCUAGAGGUAGAGCUACUGAUUGGAUGCGAGGGCUUCACCGCCUAUCAAAUCCGGCCAAACUCCGAAUGCUAGAACAUGAAGACAGGGAGUGAGCCAGCGGGUGCUAAGGUCCGUUGACGAAAGAGGGAGAACUCAGACCAUCAGCUAAGGUCCCCAAUUAUAUGCUAAGUUGGAAUAAAAACGGGGUGGGACUGCUUAGACAGCUAGGAUGUUGGCUUGGAAGCAGCCAUUCAUUUAAAGAGUGCGUAACAGCUCACUAGUCGAGCGGUCCUGCAUGGAUAAUACGCGGGCAUAAGCAUAUAACCGAAGCUAUGGGAUUGUAGAUGAUACAAUCGGUAGGAGAGCAUUCCAUUCAGCAUAGAAGCAGUACCGUGAGGUAUUGUGGAGCGGAUGGAAAAGCAAAUGUAGGCAUAAGUAACGAUAAUGCGGGUGAGAACCCCGCACGCCGAAAGAUCAAGGAUUCCCCGGCAAUGUCAAUCAUCCGGGGGUAAGUCGGAUCCUAAGGGUAAGCCGAGUGGCGAUCCCGAUGGUAAACAGGUUAAUAUUCCUGUACUGAUCAUAACUGCGAUGCAGCGACGCAGAGGUGACACUGCUGCGUACUGACGGAAUAGUACGUUGAAACCCGUAUUCUUUGAUACCGGUAGUGAAGCACGCCGGUAGAGAUGAAAGGUGAUAGUACCGCAAUGCUUCGGUUGCGCGGAUAAUGCAGGUAAGCUGACUGCCAAGAAAACCUGCUAAGCUUCAGGUAAUGAUCAUCCGUACUGUAAACGGACACACGUGAUCAGGUAGAAAAUACUAAGGCGCUCGAGAGAUUCAUGGUUAAGGAACUAGGCAAAAUGGUCCUGUAACUUCGGGAUAAAGGACGCUCUUGUGAAAGAGCCGCAGAUAAUAGGCCCAGGCGACUGUUUACCAAAAACACAUGGCUAUGCUAAUUCGCAAGAAGAUGUAUAUGGCCUGACACCUGCCCGGUGCCGGAAGGUUAAGAGGAGAGCUCAGAGGUAACUCGAAGGUUUGAAUUGAAGCCCCGGUAAACGGCGGCCGUAACUAUAACGGUCCUAAGGUAGCGAAAUUCCUUGUCGGGUAAGUUCCGACCUGCACGAAUGGUGUAACGAUCUGGGUACUGUCUCAACCAUGAGCUCGGUGAAAUUGUAGUUCCGGUGAAGAUGCCGGAUACCCGCAACGGGACGGAAAGACCCCGUGAACCUUUACUGCAGCUUUGCAUUGAUUUUGGGUAACAGAUGUGUAGGAUAGGUCGGAGGCUUUGAUGCUGCGUACGUC